rnacentral:rRNA from 1 species
AGGACGAACGCUGGCGGCGUGCUUAACACAUGCAAGUCGAGCGGAAAGGCCCUUCGGGGUACUCGAGCGGCGAACGGGUGAGUAACACGUGAGCAACCUGCCCUUAGCUCCGGGAUAGCUCCGGGAAACCGGAAUUAAUACCGGAUACAACACCGGCCGACAUCGGCCGGUGUGGAAAGAAUUUCGGCUAGGGAUGGACUCGCGGCCUAUCAGCUAGUUGGUGGGGUAAAGGCCUACCAAGGCGACGACGGGUAGCCGGCCUGAGAGGGCGACCGGCCACGACUGGGACUGAGACACGGCCCAGACUCCUACGGGAGGCAGCAGUGGGGAAUCUUGCGCAAUGGGCGAAAGCCUGACGCAGCGACGCCGCGUGGGGGAUGAAGGCCUUCGGGUUGUAAACCCCUUUCAGCAGGGACGAAGCGAAGUGACGGUACCUGCAGAAGAAGCGCCGGCUAACUACGUGCCAACAGCCGC